rnacentral:misc_RNA from 1 species
GAUGAAGAGCGCAGCGAAAUGCGAUAAGUAGUGUGAAUUGCAGAAUUCAGUGAAUCAUCGAAUCUUUGAACGCACAUUGCGCCCCUUGGUAUCCCGAGGGGCAUGCCUGUUCGAGCGUCAUUUCACCACUCAAGCCUGGCUUGGUGUUGGGCGACGUCCCCUUUGGGGACGCGCCUCGAAACGCUCGGCGGCGUGGCACCGGCUUUAAGCGUAGCAGAAUCUUUCGCUUUGGAAGUCGGGGCCCCGUCUGCCGGAAGACCUACUCGCAAGGUUGACCUCGGAUCAGGCAGGGAUACCCGCUGAACUUAAGCAUAUCAAUAAGCGGAGGA